UUAUGACCAUAUCACAUUGAAAUACCAGUUCUCAUUCAAUCACUGAAGUUAAGCAAAGUCAAAACAGGUCAGUACCUAGAUAGGUGACCACUUGGCAAUACCAGGUGCUGUAAG